GGGGGAUUCGCACACGUCCGGCCAGGUCUGCGGGGAGCCGCAGGGAGGCAACGAAGUUCCGGCGAAAGAAGAGCCUCAGGAAGGUUACGAUCAUGCAAUGGGAAUUAAUAUCUCCAACGGUGGGGAGUAAAGGAUCACUUUCUCAUGCAACUGAUAGAUUAAUAGUAAGGAUGACUGCCAGAGUUCAACCUGCAAGUGUGUUCUAUUUUGAACAGGUAGUGCCCUAUGUGCUGCUGAAGUUUGAAACCUUUUGUUACCGUGUUUGAAUAUAUUUGACAAACUUGUAAGAUACCUCAAGGCUAUGUUUGGAUACAUUUGGGCAUGAUUUACUGUUGUGGUA